GAUCCUGGUUCAGGAUGAACGCUAGCUACAGGCUUAACACAUGCAAGUCGAGGGGAAACGAUAUUGGAAGCUUGCUUCCGAUAGGCGUCGACCGGCGCACGGGUGAGUAACGCGUAUCCAACCUGCCCACCACUUGGGGAUAACCUUGCGAAAGUAAGACUAAUACCCAAUGAUAUCUCUAGAAGACAUCUGAAAGAGAUUAAAGAUUCAUCGGUGAUGGAUGGGGAUGCGUCUGAUUAG
rnacentral:rRNA from 1 species